rnacentral:rRNA from 1 species
GACGAACGCUGGCGGCGUGCUUAACACAUGCAAGUCGAACGGCAAGGCCCUGCUUUUGUGGGGUGCUCGAGUGGCGAACGAGUGAGUAACACGUGAGUACCCUGCCCUUGCCUUUGGGAUAACUUCAGGAAACUGGGGCUAAUACCGGCUAGGAGCUCCUGCUGCAUGGUGGGGGUUGGAUAGUUUCGGCGGUUGGGGAUGGACUCGCGGCUUAUCAGCUUGUUGGUGGGGUAGUGGCUUACCAAGGCUUUGACGGGUAGCCGGCCUGAGAGGGUGACCGGCCACAUUGGGACUGAGAUACGGCCCAGACUCCUACGGGAGGCAGCAGUGGGGAAUAUUGCACAAUGGGCGGAAGCCUGAUGCAGCAACGCCGCGUGCGGGAUGACGGCCUUCGGGUUGUAAACCGCUUUCGCCUGUGACGAAGCGUGAGUGACGGUAAUGGGUAAAGAAGCACCGGCUAACUACGUG